GAGGCCCGCGGCAAACCCUUGAGGCUUUCUGGAAACCGGCCUCUUUAAAACAGGUUUCCCCCAUCACUUUCAGACCAGUCGUCUGCCUGUUCCGGAGGUUGGAGUUGUUUCCCUUGGGGGGAAAAGGACUCUUCAUUACAGCGUAGAAACUAGCUGCUUUUUGUGUCCUGAGGGCUACUUAGGACCGAACCUGGCGGGGGCGUUGCACGCGUGUUCCCGACGGAAAUAGGCAAGACCCGGAGAAACGGUUGCGCGUAAGGGGAGCACGAGGACUUUAUCCUGCUGGAGUCAAAAGCACCACAAGUGACAACUCUGUCACUUGCUUCCCAUGUGUUUUUCUGAGGUCGAGAAGCAUACGAGGUAAUUCGCAACGAAGCAUGCGCUGUGAUUUGGGAGCAGACUGGACUUGAUCCGAGAGCAAUUUAUUACCUGUUUGGGAAAAAGUCCUCAUCCACCAAAACACUUCUUUGAAACUCAGUAACUGAAGACAGAACUCGAUAGCCUGGUGAUUAUUUUUCCAGACAACUGAAUAAUUUAUAUUGCUUUAAAAAAAAAUAACUAAGAUCUAUUUUUAUUAUUUCAGACCUUUUUAAAACA